rnacentral:rRNA from 1 species
GACAGAGGAGCCAAGCGUUGUCCGGAUUGACUGGGCGUAAAGCGCACGCAGGCGGCCCAAUACGUGGGGUGUGAAAGCUGGCGGCUUAACUGCCAGAUGCCAUCCCAUACGGCUGGGCUCGAGCCCUGCAGAGGUCCAUGGAAUUGCCGGUGUAGUGGUGAAAUGCGUAGAGAUCGGCAGGAACACCCAGGGGGAAACCAGUGGAC